rnacentral:rRNA from 1 species
UACGGAGGAUGCAAGCGUUAUCCGGAAUGAUUGGGCGUAAAGCGUCCGCAGGUGGCUGUGUAAGUCUGCUGUUAAAGAGUCUAGCUCAACUAGAUACAAGCAGUGGAAACUACACGGCUAGAGUACGUUCGGGGCAGAGGGAAUUCCUGGCGUAGCGGUGAAAUGCGUAGAGAUCAGGAAGAACACCGGUGGCGAAGGCGCUCUGCUAGGCCGUAACUGACACUGAGGGACGAAAGCUAGGGGAGCGAAUGGG